GCUGCGUGUGUUUUAAUGCAAAGGCCACACCUUCGAACUUACAGCAAAAAGUAGAGCUCGAUCAACCUACCAGAUCAAACCGCUCUGUUCUCCGUCCUAGCCUCUGCUCCUGGUAUUGGACAACUGCUGAGGAUACAUUGUUUGAUGUAGUUCUCAUAUGCCAGUGACAAGAGCAAGUUGUGCUUAUGAAGACUUAGGACAGUGUUUGGAGCUAAAUUAAAGCAAGGGAAGCCCCUCGGAGCUGAGUACGUGUAAAAGAAGAAAGAAAAGAAGAGAAAAAAGGCUUAUUCACUCUAGCGCGGCCUUAGCGCGACCGCGCUUGAGCAAGGAAAUCGAGGCAGAACACUCAGCGAUAUGCGCGGCCACUAGCGCGGUUCGAGCGUGGCCGCACUAGUCAAAUCAGGAGUGCAAUAGUUCAGGGGUAAACUUGGAAGUUUGGGGGUAAUUCCACUUAACCUAUAAAAGGUCCAGCUCGCCCAAAAAGACAUUA